UUCCAUGAUGAUCAUUUUCUGUGCUUCGGCACAGCUGGAAAUUACCGUCUGAAAUAUUUUGACGAAAAAAACCUGGCUGUUUUCUGAUA
rnacentral:snoRNA from 1 species